GCUGGGCGCGGUGGCGCACGCCUGUAGUCCCAGCUACUCCGGAGGCUGAGGCAGGAGAAUGGCUUGAACCGGGGAGGCAGCGGUUGUGGUGAGCCGAGAUUGCACCAUUGCACUCCAGCCUGGACCACAGAGUGAAACUUUUUUUGUUUGUUUUGUUUUGUUUUUGAGACGGAGUUUCGCUCUUGUUACCCAGGCUGGAGUGCAAUGGCGCGAUCUCGGCUCACCGCAACCUCCGCCUCCUGGGUUCAGGCAGUUCUCCUGCCUCAG
rnacentral:sRNA from 1 species